rnacentral:rRNA from 1 species
AUACGUAGGUGACAAGCGUUAUCCGGAUUUACUGGGCGUAAAGGGCGUGUAGGCGGUCUUGCAAGUCAGAAGUGAAAUUCCUGAGCUCAACUCGGGCGCUGCUUCUGAAACUGCAGGACUUGAGUGCUGGAGGGGAUAGCGGAAUUCCUAGUGGAGCGGUAAAAUGCGCAGAUAUUAGGAAGAACACCGGUGGCGAAGGCGGCUGUCUGGACAGGAAAGGACGCUGAGGCGCGAAAGCGUGGGGAGCAAAAAUGAUAAGAUACCCUGGUGUUCCACGCCGUAAACGAUGAAUACUAGGUGUAGGGGGUAUCGACUCCCUCUGUGCCGCAGUUAACACAAUAAGUAUUCCGCCUGGGGAGUACGGCCGCAAGGUUGAAACUCAAAUGAAUUGACGGGG